CUUACUACACUACCAGAGAUGAUUUACUAAGACAAUUGAAGAAAUAAGACUUCUCGCAAUAGCUGUCCAUGAAGAUUAACAAUGACGAUACUAGAUCCUGGCACGAGAGUUAGUUAUGUUGGAAAGAAGAAUCACAAAAAAUCUCUAAUUCACACGUAGCAGUCAGUGUGGACUAGUUACCGAGGUCGGUUCAGUGAGGUAUGCCGAAUUGAAAUACAAUCCAAAGAGAAGAGAAAAAAACCACGAGCGGGACACUUCAUCAUCCCUCCAUCCCCUCCUGAAGGAUAUUUUCCAGUUAAACUAGAAAGGAUCCACUCAGUCAUCCAGAAUUACAGAGGAAAGUGGAAACAACAAGUUAAUAGAUGUAAACAAAGUUAAGUGAACAUGUAAAGUGUAUACUUUUCCCGAAAGUGGGAUCAAUGCUUCAAUUAACAAACAAUUAGUGAAUAAAAAAGAGGAACACAUACCUGGCUGCAAUGUCAUAGUCAUGAUGGAGAGAGGAGCCAAGGCGGAAGAGGCGUGGAGAAGUAAGCCUCUUUGCUUCCUUCACUAGUCUUUACCAGUAGUCAAAGCGCGGAAAAAGUCUUCAUUUUUAAGGUUCCUCUGUCUGCUGCGUCGGUUUUCCUUUUUCCUCUGCUAUUACUUUUUAUUAUUGUGUGCUGCUGCUG
rnacentral:lncRNA from 1 species